AUCAUUUGGCUUUCAACGUAAUUCAAAUAAGGUACAGCCUAUUUGAAACAGGAUACAACCUAGACCAAUGGAUAAGAUCAGCCUAGCAUACAAUCAAGUGGGCCUAAAAGCAGCCAUCUUAAGUAGAGCGUCAAAGCUAAUUUGUAACCGCGCCAAAUCUCUCAAUCUUCAUCUAAUCCUCAACCAAUACUGAGUAAUUCUAUAGCACUAUAGAAAUUUUUAUGUUAAAACUAGUAACAAGAAGAAGACUCUUCUCUUAAAUGUGUGUGUAGAUCAGAAAAGACAAGCUACUGAUACUUAACACCCUUGAGCUCAAAGUAACAACUAACCAAGAAAACCCUACUUUCAUUAGUGUUAAUCUAACACAAGAACAUUCCGAGAAAGAUUAAAAGAAAAAGAAGGAACUCGGCAAAUAUUAACCUCGCCUGUUUACCAAAAACAUCGCCUCUUGAAUUACUAUGAGAGGUCCAGCCUGCCCAGUGACCCUGUUCAACGGCCGCGGUAUCCUAACCGUGCGAAGGUAGCGUAAUCACUUGUUCUCUAAAUGCGGACUAGUAUGAAUGGCAUCACGAAGGUUAUACUGUCUCCUUUUUCUAAUCAGUGAAACUAAUCUCCCCGUGAAGAAGCGGGGAUAGCGCUAUAAGACGAGAAGACCCUAUGGAGCUUUAAACAAUACAGCAUCUGCCCCCACAAUACUGAAAUUUCCGAAUUCAAACUCUUUUGGACAGUGUGACUGCGAGUUUUUGGUUGGGGUGACCACGGAGCAUAACAUAACCUCCAUGCUGAAAGAACAUUUCUAAGCUAAGAACCACAAAUCCAAGCAUCAAUAAAUUGACAUCCAUUGACCCAAUACACUUGAGCAACGAACCAAGUUACCCUAGGGAUAACAGCGCAAUCCACUUCAAAAGCUCCUAUCGACAAGUGGGUUUACGACCUCGAUGUUGGAUCAGGGUCUCCCAGUGGUGCAGCCGCUACUAAA
rnacentral:rRNA from 1 species